UGAUCAUGAUGUGCAUGAUGGUCUUGGGC
rnacentral:piRNA from 1 species